rnacentral:snRNA from 1 species
AAACUUAAUUAGGAAAGUAGUGA